rnacentral:rRNA from 1 species
UACAUGGGGUGCAAACGUUGCUCGGAAUCAUUGGGCGUAAAGCGCGCGUAGGCGGUUACUUAAGUCGAAUGUGAAAGCCCUCGGCUUAACUGAGGAAGUGCAUCCGAAACUGAGUAGCUAGAGUACGAAAGAGGGUCGCGGAAUUCCUGGUGUAGCGGUGAAAUGCGCAGAUAUCAGGAGGAACACCGGUGGCGAAGGCGGGUCUCUGGGCAACAACUGACGCUGAGGAGCGAAAGCGUGGGGAGCGAACAGG